CCUACGGGGGGCUGCAGUGGGGAAUAUUGCACAAUGGGCGCAAGCCUGAUGCAGCCAUGCCGCGUGUGUAAAGAAGGCCUUCGGGUUGUAAAGCACUUUCAGCGGGGAGGAAGGCGGUGAGGUUAAUAACCUCAUCGAUUGACGUUACCCGCAGAAGAAGCACCGGCUAACUCCGUGCCAGCAGCCGCGGUAAUACGGAGGGUGCAAGCGUUAAUCGGAAUUACUGGGCGUAAAGCGCACGCAGGCGGUCUGUCAAGUCGGAUGUGAAAUCCCCGGGCUCAACCUGGGAACUGCAUUCGAAACUGGCAGGCUAGAGUCUUGUAGAGGGGGGUAGAAUUCCAGGUGUAGCGGUGAAAUGCGUAGAGAUCUGGAGGAAUACUGGUGGCGAAGGCGGCCCCCUGGACAAAGACUGACGCUCAGGUGCGAAAGCGUGGGGAGCAAACAGGAUUAGAUACCCCGGUAGUC
rnacentral:rRNA from 1 species